rnacentral:misc_RNA from 1 species
GGUGGCUGUGCCCGGCCCGAAGGCGUGCUUUCGCGGAGCGAAAGCCGACAUUUGAUUGUGCCGCGGAGGAGCGAUGCUGGUAAGCCAUCCCCCAGCAGCCCCGCUGCUAACAUGGUUGCGCCGCUAUCUCGUGCGGCGUCUUUCUGAAAGUUCGCGCCGAGCAUUACAGCAGCCGGGCCGCUCUUGGGCGGCGCUCCCGCGCCGCCGCGAUUGCUGGCGAAGCGCCGGGACGAUCCAUAUAAUUUCGCCCUCGCAGGGGGCGAUCUCUUCAGUGCAGGCCGCGCGGAUCUUCCUCGAUUCACCGCAUCUCCCCGGACGGCAUGGCGAAGGUCCAAUUCAAUCGACCGGCGGGCCUCAAGCCGCGGACCGGCACACGCGACGAGGCUGUGCCGGUCGAUCUGCUGGAGCGCCUCUCGCUGUUCCAGGAAUUGCAGAGCGGCAAGAGCAAGGCCCCCAGCCUGA